rnacentral:tRNA from 1 species
ACCCAGCUAGCUCACUCUGUAGAGCAUGUGACUCUUGAUCUCAGGGUUGUGAGUUUGAGGCCCACAUUGGGUG